UCUCCUACGGGGGGCAGCAGUAGGGAAUCUUCCACAAUGGGCGAAAGCCUGAUGGAGCAACGCCGCGUGAACGAAGAAAUAUUUCGGUAUGUAAAGUUCUAUCAGCAGGGAAGAAAAUGACAGUACCUGACCAAGAAGCCCCGGCUAACUACGUGCCAGCAGCCGCGGUAAUACGUAGGGGGCGAGCGUUAUCCGGAUUCACUGGGCGUAAAGGGAGCGCAGGCGGCACGGCAAGUCCGGUGUAAAAGCCCGGGGCCCAACCCCGGGACUGCACUGGAAACUGCCGGGCUGGAGUGUCGGAGGGG
rnacentral:rRNA from 1 species